rnacentral:rRNA from 1 species
CCUUCCGGGGGGGGCGUGCCAGUAGGGAAUCUUCCGCAAUGGGCGAAAGCCUGACGGAGCAAUGCCGCGUGAGUGAUGAAGGUUUUCGGAUCGUAAAGCUCUGUUGCCAGGGAAGAACGCUUGGGAGAGUAACUGCUCUCAAGGUGACGGUACCUGAGAAGAAAGCCCCGGCUAACUACGUGCCAGCAGCCGCGGUAAUACGUAGGGGGCAAGCGUUGUCCGGAAUUAUUGGGCGUAAAGCGCGCGCAGGCGGUCAUUUAAGUCUGGUGUUUAAUCCCGGGGCUCAACCCCGGAUCGCACUGGAAACUGGGUGACUUGAGUGCAGAAGAGGAGAGUGGAAUUCCACGUGUAGCGGUGAAAUGCGUAGAUAUGUGGAGGAACACCAGUGGCGAAGGCGACUCUCUGGGCUGUAACUGACGCUGAGGCGCGAAAGCGUGGGGAGCAAACAGGAUUAGAUCCCGCCCGGUGAARUCMA